rnacentral:rRNA from 1 species
AUUGAACGCUGGCGGCAGGCCUAACACAUGCAAGUCGAGCGGAGCGGCGGACGGGUGAGUAAUGCCUGGGAAUCUGCAUGGUAGUGGGGGAUAACGUCCGGAAACGGGAGCUAAUACCGCAUACUAUAAGAUGAGCAUAGGUCGGAUGAGCUAGUUGGUGGGGUAAAGGCCUACCAAGGUGCCGAUCCGUAACUGGUCUGAGAGGAUGAUCAGGCACACUGGAACGUAUACACGGUCCAGACUCCUACGGUAGGCAGCAUUGGGGAAUAUUGGACAAUGGGCGCAAGCCUGAUCCAGCCAUGCCGCGUGUGUGAAGAAGGUCUUCGGAUUGGAAAGCACUUUAAGUUGGGAGGCGUUACCAACAGAAUAAGCACCGGCUAACUUCGUGCCAGCAGCCGCGGUAAUAC